CAAAAGCAUUGGAUGGAGAAAUUAGUACUUCAAUUAUGUUGUUUGUGAUAGCUACAGAAGUGUAUUAUUCUCCAGAAAUAAGAAAAAGCUCUGUGCUUUUUCUCAUGGGGCCAUGGAGAACACUUAAAUUGCAGAUUUUCUAAUAGGCUUUCAAUGGAGGAAAAUUGUUGUGGGUGUUCCUUUGAAGGUGUCUUUCUCUAGACCAAAUCUUUCCGUGUUUAUUCAUAUGUAUCUCAGAGAGGUUGACGUAUCAGAAAUGGCUUCGUUUAAGAGGGAAGACACAUCCUAUGGGAAGAGGGUCUGCACUGGAGUGAAAGAUGAAAACCCAAGACUGAAACCCAAUAAAUGAAAAUUUCUCUUGUAGCUCUCAGAGAGAAAAAUAUAGAGCACCAU